GACGAACGCUGGCGGCGUGCUUAACACAUGCAAGUCGAACGGAAAGGCCCUGCUUUUGUGGGGUGCUCGAGUGGCGAACGGGUGAGUAACACGUGAGUAGCCUGCCCUUGACUUUGGGAUAACUUCAGGAAACUGGGGCUAAUACCGGAUAGGAGCUCCUGCUGCAUGGUGGGGGUUGGAAAGUUUCGGCGGUUGGGGAUGGACUCGCGGCUUAUCAGCUUGUUGGUGGGGUAGUGGCUUACCAAGGCUUUGACGGGUAGCCGGCCUGAGAGGGUGACCGGCCACAUUGGGACUGAGAUACGGCCCAGACUCCUACGGGAGGCAGCAGUGGGGAAUAUUGCACAAUGGGCGGAAGCCGGAUGCAGCAGCGCCGCGUGCGGGAUGACGGCCUUCGGGUUGUAAACCGCUUUCGCCUGUGACGAAGCGUGAGUGACGGUAAUGAGUAAAGAAGCACCGGCUAACUACGUG
rnacentral:rRNA from 1 species